rnacentral:rRNA from 1 species
UACGGGGGGGGUAAGCGUUGUUCGGAAUUACUGGGCGUAAAGGGCUCGUAGGCGGCCAACUAAGUCAGACGUGAAAUCCCUCAGCUUAACUGGGGAACUGCGUCUGAUACUGGAUGGCUUGGAUUCGGGAGAGGAAUGCGGAAUUCCAGGUGUAGCGGUGAAAUGACGUAGAUAUCUGGAGGAACACCGGUGGCGAAGGCGGCAUUCUGGACCGAUAUUGACGCUGAGGAGCGAAAGCCAGGGGAGCAAACAGG